GAUGAACGCUGGCGGCGUGCUUAACACAUGCAAGUCGAACGAGAAGUGAAGACGGAAACCUUCGGGCGGAAGGCUUUAUUUCGAGUGGCGGACGGGGGAGUAACGCGUGGGUAACCUGCCUCAUACAGGGGGAUAACAGUUGGAAACGACUGUUAAUACCGCAUAAGACCACAGCACCGCAUGGUGCGGGGGUAAAAACUCCGGUGGUAUGAGAUGGACCCGCGUUCGAUUAGCCAGUUGGCGGGGUAACGGCCCACCAAAGCGACGAUCGAUAGCCGAUCUGAGAGGAUGACCGGCCACAUUGGGACUGAGACACGGCCCAAACUCCUACGGGAGGCAGCAGUGGGGAAUAUUGCACAAUGGGGGAAACCCUGAUGCAGCGACGCCGCGUGAGUGAAGAAGUAUUUCGGUAUGUAAAGCUCUAUCAGCAGGGAAGAAAAUGACGGUACCUGAGUAAGAAGCCCCGGCUAACUACGUG
rnacentral:rRNA from 1 species